CUUUGGGAUAACCUUCGGAAACGGGGGCUAAUACUGGAUAUGACUCAUGGCCGCAUGGUUGUGGGUGGAAAGAUUCUUUGGUGGGGGAUGGGCUCGCGGCCUAUCAGCUUGUUGGUGGGGUGAUGGCCUACCAAGGCGACGACGGGUAGCCGGCCUGAGAGGGCGACCGGCCACACAGGGACUGAGACACGGCCCAGACUCCUACGGGAGGCAGCAGUGGGAAUAUUGCACAAUGGGCGCAAGCCUGAUGCAGCGACGCCGCGUGGGGGAUGACGGCCUUCGGGUUGUAAACUCCUUUCGUCAGGGAAGAAGCCUUUGGGUGACGGUACCUGGAGAAGAAGCACCGGCUAACUACGUGCCAGCAGCCGCGGUAAUACGUAGGGUGCGAGCGUUGUCCGGAAUUAUUGGGCGUAAAGAGCUUGUAGGCGGUUUGCCGCGUCUGCGGUGAAAACCCAGGGCUUAACCUUGGGCGUGCCGUGGGUACGGGCAGGCUAGAGUGUGGUAGGGGAGACUGGAAUUCCUGGUGUAGCGGUGAAAUGCGCAGAUAUCAGGAGGAACACCGAUGGCGAAGGCAGGUCUCUGGGCCAUAACUGACGCUGAGAAGCGAAAGCAUGGGGAGCGAACAGGAUUAGAUACCCUGGUAGUCCAUGCCGUAAACGUUGGGCGCUAGGUGUGGGGCUCAUUCCACGAGUUCUGUGCCGCAGCUAACGCAUUAAGCGCCCCGCCUGGGGAGUACGGCCGCAAGGCUAAAACUCAAAGGAAUUGACGGGGGCCCGCACAAGCGGCGGAGCAUGCGGAUUAAUUCGAUGCAACGCGAAGAACCUUACCAAGGCUUGACAUACAUCGGUAACGGCCAGAGAUGGUCGCCCCGUAAGGUCGGUGUACAGGUGGUGCAUGGUUGUCGUCAGCUCGUGUCGUGAGAUGUUGGGUUAAGUCCCGCAACGAGCGCAACCCUCGUUCCAUGUUGCCAGCACGUGAUGGUGGGGACUCAUGGGAGACUGCCGGGGUCAACUCGGAGGAAGGUGGGGAUGACGUCAAAUCAUCAUGCCCCUUAUGUCUUGGGCUUCACGCAUGCUACAAUGGCCAGUACAAAGGGCGGCGAUACCGUGAGGUGGAGGAAUUCCAAAAAAAAACUGGUCUCAGUUCGGAUUGGGGUCUGCAACUCGACCCCAUGAAGUCGGAGUCGCUAAUAAUCGCACAACGCUGCGGUGAAUACGUUCCCGGGCCUUGUACACACCGCCCGUCAAGUCACGAAAGUCGGUAACACCCGAAGCCGGUGGCCUAACCCUUGUGGGGGGAGCCGUCGAAGGUG
rnacentral:rRNA from 1 species